CCUGCCCCUAGAGGCGUUACAGAUGUGGCUGGCCGUGCCACGUCUGUGUCAUUAGGUGGCGCAGAGGAAGAGGCUACGUCUACGCUCGGUGCCCUGACAGCUGUGAGCACUCAGAAUGAUUAGUAGCCUGACACUG
ensembl:snoRNA